rnacentral:tRNA from 1 species
AGGCGCGUAGCUCAGUUGGUUAGAGCGCUACCUUGACAUGGUAGAGGUCACUGGUUCGAAUCCAGUCGUGCCUA